GGAGGUGCUUGGCAUGCUGGUGCAGCCCUCGGUCUUCAAAACCGAUGUGGGGCGUGAGAAACGUCUCGGGGGGGUUCGAUUCCCCUGCAUUUCCGCCA
rnacentral:tRNA from 1 species